GCAUAUCAAUAAGCGGAGGAAAAGAAACCAACAGGGAUUGCCUCAGUAACGGCGAGUGAAGCGGCAACAGCUCAAAUUUGAAAUCUGGCCCUUGGGUCCGAAUUGUAAUUUGUAGAGGAUGAUUUUGGUGCGGUAUCUUCCGAGUUCCUUGGAACAGGACGCCUUAGAGGGUGAGAGCCCCGUACGGUUGAAUGCCCAGCCUCUGUAAAUCUCCUUCGACGAGUCGAGUAGUUUGGGAAUGCUGCUCUAAAUGGGAGGUAAAUUUCUUCUAAAGCUAAAUACUGGCCAGAGACCGAUAGCGCACAAGUAGAGUGAUCGAAAGAUGAAAAGCACUUUGAAAAGAGGGUUAAAUAGCACGUGAAAUUGUUGAAAGGGAAGGAUUUAUGACCAGACUUUUUCUGGGCGGAUCAUCCGGUGUUCUCACCGGUGCACUUUGCCCAGUUUAGGCCAGCAUCGAUUUUCGGAGAGGGAUAAAAGCUUUGGGAAUGUGACUCCUCCGGGAGUGUUAUAGCCCAUUGUAUAAUACCUUUCUGGGGAUCGAGGUACGCGCUUCUGCAAGGAUGCUGGCGUAAUGGUUAUCAAUCACCCGUCUUGAAACACGGACCAAGGAGUCGAACAUUUGUGCAAGUGUUUGGGUGUUAAACCCUCACGCGUAAUGAAAGUGAACGGAGGUGAGAGCCCUUACGGGUGCAUCAUCGACCGAUCCUGAAGUUUUCGGAUGGAUUUGAGUAAGAGCAUAACUGUUCGGACCCGAAAGAUGGUGAACUAUGCGUGGAUAGGGUGAAGCCAGAGGAAACUCUGGUGGAGGCUCGCAGCGGUUUCUGACGUGCAAAUCGCUACGUCAACUACUGCGCAUGGGGCGAAAGAC
rnacentral:rRNA from 1 species